GGGUGAUUAGCUCAGCUGGGAGAACACCUCCCUUACAAGGAGGGGGUCGGCGGUUCGAUCCCGUCAUCACCCACCA
rnacentral:tRNA from 3 species